rnacentral:rRNA from 1 species
GGAGCACGCCGCGUGAGUGAUGAAGGUUUUCGGAUCGUAAAACUCUGUUGUUAGGGAAGAACAAGUACCGUUCGAAUAGGGCGGUACCUUGACGGUACCUAACCAGAAAGCCACGGCUAACUACGUGCCAGCAGCCGCGGUAAUACGUAGGUGGCAAGCGUUGUCCGGAAUUAUUGGGCGUAAAGCGCGCGCAGGCGGUUUCUUAAGUCUGAUGUGAAAGCCCCCGGCUCAACCGGGGAGGGUCAUUGGAAACUGGGGAACUUGAGUGCAGAAGAGGAGAGUGGAAUUCCACGUGUAGCGGUGAAAUGCGUAGAGAUGUGGAGGAACACCAGUGGCGAAGGCGACUCUCUGGUCUGUAACUGACGCUGAGGCGCGAAAGCGUGGGGAGCGAACAGGAUUAGAUACCCUGGUAGUCCACGCCGUAAACGAUGAGUGCUAAGUGUUAGAGGGUUUCCGCCCUUUAGUGCUGCAGCAAACGCAUUAAGCACUCCGCCUGGGGAGUACGGUCGCAAGACUGAAACUCAAAGGAAUUGACGGGGGCCCGCACAAGCGGUGGAGCAUGUGGUUUAAUUCGAAGCAACGCGAAGAACCUUACCAGGUCUUGACAUCCUCUGACAACCCUAGAGAUAGGGCUUCCCCUUCGGGGGCAGAG